UACGGAGGGUGCAAGCGUUAUCCGGAUUCACUGGGUUUAAAGGGUGCGUAGGCGGAUUUUUAAGUCCGUGGUGAAAUCUCCGAGCUUAACUCGGAAACUGCCAUGGAUACUAUAAGUCUUGAAUGUUGUGGAGGUUUGCGGAAUAUGUCAUGUAGCGGUGAAAUGCUUAGAUAUGACAUAGAACACCGAUUGCGAAGGCAGCAGGCUACACAAAUAUUGACGCUGAGGCACGAAAGCGUGGGGAUCAAACAGGAUUAGAAACCCCAGUAGUCC
rnacentral:rRNA from 1 species